ACAUUGUUGUCGUUUU
rnacentral:sRNA from 1 species